AUCAUGGCUCAGAUUGAACGCUGGCGGCAGGCCUAACACAUGCAAGUCGAACGGUAACAGGAAGCAGCUUGCUGCUUUGCUGACGAGUGGCGGACGGGUGAGUAAUGUCUGGGAAACUGCCUGAUGGAGGGGGAUAACUACUGGAAACGGUAGCUCUUUAAAAAUCUGGAUCAAGCUGAAAAUUGAAACGACACACAGCUCAUGUGUGUUCGAGUCUCUCAAAUUUUCGCAAUCAGAAGUGAAACAUCUUCGGGUUGUGAGGUUAAGCGACUAAGCGUACACGGUGGAUGCCCUGGCAGUCAGAGGCGAU
rnacentral:rRNA from 1 species